CAAGAAACCCGUAAGUUGGAAAGAGAAUGGCGCCGCUCCGGUUCAGAGCAGUCUCUGGAUAUCUGGAAACAUAGCCUAUUAAAUUAUAAAAAAGCUCUGUGUAGCCCAGGUGGUUUUACCUACUUUGUUUUGCCUUAACCGUCUGUUAGUUUCCUUUCUGCGCAUUUCUCGUCACCUUCUGUUUCCCCUUCGACGUCACUCCCUCACGUGGGCUAGUUGGCCAAUCACGGCCAAGCUUCUCGUGUCAUCAGGACAUCACGUGAUACGGCGCGACCAGUCGCGUACGCUUAUUAGGGUGCAGGGAAUCAAUGGUUUAAGACGCGGCGGGGAAGCUACAUGAGCGGAGCCCUCUAUCCGGUCCACAGUUCCACCAUACAUAAAAGCGUUGGUAAUAUGUGGUUGGCGGAAUCUGGUGAGUUGUCUAUUUGUUUGCUAACGUAGCUUUAGCUGCUACUGUGUAUCAGAUGUGGUUAACGUUAAAUGUUACCUAUCAUAUCCAAGCAUAAUGACUCAUAGUAUGACCCGAAUAUUGUACAUUCAGUAUGGGUAUAUGUUAUGUUAAUAUGUUUAAUGUUUUGUCUUUGUCUUUACAUGAAUGUAGCACAGCUAGUGCUGUGUUUAUGAUUUUUGUGUGCACACUAUAUGUUAUGAUGUUUUAUAUUGUUUUUGACGUGUUAACACGCGAUUUCCUGUGGCUUUGGUCCUGUUAUCCAGGCCGGGUCCAGGUGGCGAGCUAGACCUUGGAAUCUGAACACUAAGAAGAGCCGCGUCCUCCCUCCGGGCCGGUAGAGGGUUUUUGUUUCUUCUUGUCUUUCCCUCAUAAGUCAAAGCACAGUUUUCUGCUGUUUCCCUGAACGGUUCGACAGACCUUCAUUUGACUCUCCCCACCGCAACGGCUUCCUUGAGCCGCUAUGGAUAUCCUCUGAACGGUGGGCGAGUCUUCUUUGAACAUUUUCUCCCUGUGUGGUGCAGUUAAAGAGAAACUGGACUCUUCCCCUCUGACAAAGGCUAUCUUAACAAGAGUAUAGUAAUGCUGAUGUGUUUACUUCUUGAAGUGCUUUUGUAUAUAUAUGUUUGAAUGGCCAUUCUAUGUUUCACUAUUUAUCACUGUAAAUCAUCUGUACAAGUCAUUAAAGGUGCUACUAAUCCAUGAACAA